rnacentral:rRNA from 1 species
UACAGAGGUCUCAAGCGUUGUUCGGAUUCAUUGGGCGUAAAGAGCGCGCAGGCGGUCGUUCAAAGUCGCGUGUGAAAGCCCCCGGCUCAACUGGGGAGGGUCACGCGAUACUGAUCGACUGGAAGGCAGGAGAGGGUAGUGGAAUUCCCGGUGUAGUGGUGAAAUGCGUAGAUAUCGGGAGGACACCAGUGGCGAAGGCGACUACCUGGCCUGUUCUUGACGCUGAGGCGCGAA